GCACAAGCGUGGAGCAUGUGGUUAAUUCGACGCAACGCGAAGACCUUACCAGGGCUUGACAUCCCCUGACCGCGUAUGAAAGUACGUUUUCACCCUCGGGUGACAGGGAGACAGGUGGUGCAUGGUUGUCGUCAGCUCGUGUCGUGAGAUGUUCGGUUAAGUCCGCUAACGAGCGCAACCCUCGUCGUAUGUUAUAUGUGUCGUACGAGACUGCCGGUAAAAAGCCGGAGGAAGGUGAGGAUGAUGUCAAGUCAGCAUGACCUUUAUAUCCAGGGCUACACACACGCUACAAUGGUCUGUACAAUGGGUAGCCAAGCCGCGAGGCGGAGCCAAUCCUGAAAGCAGGCCUCAGUUCAGAUUGCAGUCUGCAACUCGACUGCAUGAAGCCGGAGUUGCUAGUAACCGCAGGUCAGCAAUACUGCGGUGAAUACGUUCCCGGGUCUU
rnacentral:rRNA from 1 species